ensembl:lncRNA
AGGGGUGAAUACAUAUGUAAAGGGAGUGAAUACAUAUGCAAAGGAUGUGAAUACAUAUGUAAAGGGAGUGAAUACAUAUGCAAAGGGAGUGAAUACAUAUGUAAAGGGGGUGAAUACAUAUGUAAAGGGAGUGAAUACAUAUGUAAAGGGAGUGAAUACAUAUGCAAAGGGAGUGAAUACAUAUGUAAAGGGGGUGAAUACAUAUGUAAAGGGAGUGAAUACAUAUGCAAAGGGAGUGAAUACAUAUGUAAAGGGGGUGAAUACAUAUGCAAAGGGAGUGAAUACAUAUGUAAAGGGGUGAAUACAUAUGUAAAGGGAGUGAAUACAUAUGCAAAGGAUGUGAAUACAUAUGUAAAGGGAGUGAAUACAUAUGUAAAGGGAGUGAAUACAUAUACAAAGGGAGUGAAUACAUAUGUAAAGGGGGUGAAUACAUAUGUAAAGGGAGUGAAUACAUAUGUAAAGGGGGUGAAUACAUAUGUAAAGGGAGUGAAUACAUAUGCAAAGGGAGUGAAUACAUAUGUAAAGGGAGUGAAUACAUAUGUAAAGGGAGUGAAUACAUAUGUAAAGGAGGUGAAUACAUAUGUAAAGGGAGUGAAUACAUAUGUAAAGGGAGUGAAUACAUUUGUAAAGGGAGUGAAUACAUAUGCAAAGGGGGUGAAUACAUAUGCAAAGGGGGUGAAUACAUAUGUAAAGGGAGUGAAUACAUAUGCAAAGGGAGUGAAUACAUAUGUAAAGGGAGUGAAUACAUAUGUAAAGGGAGUGAAUACAUAUGUAAAGGGAGUGAAUACAUAUGUAAAGGAGGUGAAUACAUAUGUAAAGGGAGUGAAUACAUAUGUAAAUGGGGUGAAUACAUAUGUAAAGGAGGUGAAUACAUAUGUAAAGGGAGUGAAUACAUAUGUAAAGGGGGUGAAUACAUAUGUAAAGGGGGUGAAUACAUAUGUAAAGGGGGUGAAUACAUAUGUAAAGGGAGUGAAUACAUAUGUAAAGGGGGUGAAUACAUAUGUAAAGGAGGUGAAUACAUAUGUAAAGGAGGUGAAUACAUAUGUAAAGGAGGUGAAUACAUAUGUAAAGGGGGUGAAUACAUAUGCAAAGGGAGUGAAUACAUAUGUAAAGGAGGUGAAUACAUAUGUAAAGGAGGUGAAUACAUAUGUAAAGGGGGUGAUUACAUAUGUAAAGGGAGUGAAUACAUAUGUAAAGGGAGUGAAUACAUAUGUAAAGGGAGUGAAUACAUAUGUAAAGGGAGUGAAUACAUAUGUAAAGGGAGUGAAUACAUAUGUAAAGGGAGUGAAUACAUAUGUAAAGGGAGUGAAUACAUAUGUAAAGGGGGUGAAUACAUAUGUAAAGGGGGUGAAUACAUAUGUAAAGGGAGUGAAUACAUAUGUAAAGGGAGUGAAUACAUAUGUAAAGGGAGUGAAUACAUAUGUAAAGGGAGUGAAUACAUAUGUAAAGGAGGUGAAUACAUAUGUAAAGGAGGUGAAUACAUAUGUAAAGGGGGUGAAUACAUAUGCAAAGGGAGUGAAUACAUAUGUAAAGGAGGUGAAUACAUAUGUAAAGGGAGUGAAUACAUAUGCAAAGGAGGUGAAUACAUAUGUAAAAGGGGGUGAAUACAUAUGCAAAGGGGGUGAAUACAUAUGUAAAGGGGGUGAAUACAUAUGUAAAGGGGGUGAAUACAUAUGUAAAGGGAGUGAAUACAUAUGUAAAGGGAGUGAAUACAUAUGUAAAGGGGUGAAUACAUAUGUAAAGGGGGUGAAUACAUAUGUAAAGGGGUGAAUACAUAUGUAAAGGAGGUGAAUACAUAUGUAAAGGGAGUGAAUACAUAUGUAAAGGGGGUGAAUACAUAUGCAAAGGGAGUGAAUACAUAUGCAAAGGGGGUGAAUACAUAUGUAAAGGGGGUGAAUACAUAUGCAAAGGGAGUGAAUACAUAUGUAAAGGAGGUGAAUACAUAUGUAAAGGGAGUGAAUACAUAUGCAAAGGAAGUGAAUACAUAUGUAAAGGAGGUGAAUACAUAUGUAAAGGGAGUGAAUACAUAUGUAAAGGGGGUGAAUACAUAUGUAAAGGGGGUGAAUACAUAUGUAAAGGGAGUGAAUACAUAUGUAAAGGGAGUGAAUACAUAUGUAAAGGGAGUGAAUACAUAUGCAAAGGGAGUGAAUACAUAUGUAAAGGGGGUGAAUACAUAUGUAAAGGGGGUGAAUACAUAUGUAAAGGGGGUGAAUACAUAUGUAAAGGGAGUGAAUACAUAUGGAAAGGGAGUGAAUACAUAUGUAAAGGGGGUGAAUACAUAUGCAAAGGGGUGAAUACAUAUGCAAAGGGGUGAAUACAUAUGCAAAGGGGGUGAAUACAUAUGCAAAGGGGGUGAAUACAUAUGCAAAGGGAGUGAAUACAUAUGUAAAGUGGGUGAAUACAUAUGUAAAGGGAGUGAAUACAUAUGUAAAGGGAGUGAAUACAUAUGUAAAGGAGGUGAAUACAUAUGCAAAGGGAGUGAAUACAUAUGUAAAGUGGGUGAAUACAUAUGUAAAGGGAGUGAAUACAUAUGUAAAGGGGGUGAAUACAUAUGUAA